rnacentral:ncRNA from 2 species
AGAGUAGAGAUUGUGCAGGGCA